rnacentral:rRNA from 1 species
AUUGAACGCUGGCGGCAGGCCUAACACAUGCAAGUCGAACGGUAACAGAAAGCAGCUUGCUGCUUUGCUGACGAGUGGCGGACGGGUGAGUAAUGUCUGGGAAACUGCCUGAUGGAGGGGGAUAACUACUGGAAACGGUAGCUAAUACCGCAUAACGUCGCAAGACCAAAGAGGGGGACCUUCGGGCCUCUUGCCAUCGGAUGUGCCCAGAUGGGAUUAGCUUGUUGGUGGGGUAACGGCUCACCAAGGCGACGAUCCCUAGCUGGUCUGAGAGGAUGACCAGCCACACUGGAACUGAGACACGGUCCAGACUCCUACGGGAGGCAGCAGUGGGGAAUAUUGCACAAUGGGCGCAAGCCUGAUGCAGCCAUGCCGCGUGUAUGAAGAAGGCCUUCGGGUUGUAAAGUACUUUCAGCGGGGAGGAAGGGAGUAAAGUUAAUACCUUUGCUCAUUGACGUAC